AGGCCCUUGCAUUAGAGCCACGGAAACAGCUCUGAAUUGGAAAAACUCUCCCUGAGUUCUGGGCAGGGGGAGAACCAGAAGUUAUUUUCUUCAGGACCGUGGAAUGUACCCCAGGGAGUCCCAAAAGUCAGACAGAAGAUGCUUCAGACCAGUAACUAUAGCCUGGUGCUCUCCCUGCAGUUUCUGUUGCUGUGCUAUGACCUGUUCGUCAAUUCCUUCUCGGAGCUACUACGAAUGGCUCCUGUUAUCCAGCUCGUGCUGUUCAUGCUGGCCUGGUCAACCUCCUGUUCCAUAAGUUCAAAGGGACCAUCAUUCUGACGUCUGUGUACCUCGCCCUCAGCAUCUCCCUGCAUGUGUGGGUCAUGAACGUGCGAUGGAAAGACUCCAGCAGCUUCAGAUGGACAAACGGCCUGCAGACACUGUUUGUAUUCCAGAGACUAGCCGCAGUGCUGUACUGCUAUUUCUACAAAAGGACAGCCGUGAGAUUGGGUGACCCCCGCUUCUACCAGGACUCACUGUGGCUGCGCAAGGAGUUCAUGCAAGUCCGAAGGUGACCACUUCAUCUCACGUUGAUGAGCACCUUUCCUUCCUGUUAGAAGGCACCUGGGCUGCUCUCCAGGGAGGGGCAGGCUUUGGCAGCAGGAAACAGAUGGACUUCCUGGACACAUUUGUGCUAGCUAUGCUCAGCACUCAAGAAGGAAGACUCACCAGGCAUGGUUGGAAACGGACAGGAGGAUU
rnacentral:lncRNA from 1 species